rnacentral:tRNA from 1 species
GGUUGGAGAGAUGGCUUAGUGGUUAAGAGCACUGACUGCUCUUCCAGAGGUCCUGAGUUCAAUUCCCAGCAACCA